rnacentral:rRNA from 1 species
CCUACGGGAGGCAGCAGUGGGGAAUAUUGGACAAUGGGGGGAACCCUGAUCCAGCGACGCCGCGUGAGUGAAGAAGUAUUUCGGUAUGUAAAGCUCUAUCAGCAGGGAAGAAAAUGACGGUACCUGACUAAGAAGCCCCGGCUAACUACGUGCCAGCAGCCGCGGUAAUACGUAGGGGGCAAGCGUUCUCCGGAUUUACUGGGUGGAAAGGGAGCGGAGACGGUGCAGCAAGGCUGGUGUGAAAGGUCGGGGCCCAAACCCCGGAUCGCAUUGGAAACUGUUGAACUGGAGUAAAGGAGAGGUAAGCGGAAUUCCUAGUGUAGCGGUGAAAUGCGUAGAUAUUAGGAGGAACACCAGUGGCGAAGGCAGCUUACUGGACUGUAACUGACGUUGAGGCUCGAAAGCGUGGGGAGCAAACAGGAUUAGAUACCCGGGUAGUC